rnacentral:rRNA from 1 species
GACGAACGCUGGCGGCGUGCUUAACACAUGCAAGUCGAACGGAAAGGCCCUGCUUUUGUGGGGUGCUCGAGUGGCGAACGGGUGAGUAACACGUGAGUAACCUGCCCUUGACUUUGGGAUAACUUCAGGAAACUGGGGCUAAUACCGGAUAGGAGCUCCUGCUGCAUGGUGGGGGUUGGAAAGUUUCGGCGGUUGGGGAUGGACUCGCGGCUUAUCAGCUUGUUGGUGGGGUAGUGGCGUACCAAGGCUUUGACGGGUAGCCGGCCUGAGAGGGUGGCCGGCCACAUUGGGACUGAGAUACGGCCCAGACUCCUACGGGAGGCAGCAGUGGGGAAUAUUGCACAAUGGGCGGAAGCCUGAUGCAGCAACGCCGCGUGCGGGAUGACGGCCUUCGGGUUGUAAACCGCUUUCGCCUGUGACGAAGCGUGAGUGACGGUAAUGGGUAAAGAAGCACCGGCUAACUACGUG